rnacentral:rRNA from 1 species
AUACAGAGGGUGCAAGCGUUAAUCGGAAUUACUGGGCGUAAAGCGUACGUAGGCGGUUUGGUAAGUCAGAUGUGAAAGCCCUGAGCUCAACUUGGGAACUGCAUUUGAAACUGCCUGACUAGAGUGUGAUAGAGGAUAGUGGAAUUUCCGGUGUAGCGGUGAAAUGCGUAGAGAUCGGAAGGAACACCAGUGGCGAAGGCGGCUAUCUGGAUCAACACUGACGCUGAGGUACGAAAGCGUGGGGAGCAAACAGAAUUAGAUACCCGAGUAGUCC